rnacentral:rRNA from 1 species
CCUACGGGAGGCAGCAGUGGGGAAUAUUGCACAAUGGGGGAAACCCUGAUGCAGCGACGCCGCGUGAGGGAAGAAGUUUUUCGGUACGUAAAGCCCUAUUAGCAGGGAAGAAAAUGACGGUACCUGACUAAGAAGCCCCGGCUAACUACGUGCCAGCAGCCGCGGUAAUACGUAGGGGGCAAGCGUUAUCCGGAUUUACUGGGUGUAAAGGGGGCGUAGGCGGGAUCGCAAGUCUGGUGUGAAAUCCUAUGGCUUAACCAUGGAACUGCUGUGGAAACUAUGCUGCUAGAGUGGGGGAGAGGUAAGCGGAAUUCGUGGUGUAGCGGUGAAAUGCGUAGAGAUUAAGAGGAACAC